rnacentral:rRNA from 1 species
AGCGGAGCAUGUGGUUUAAUUCGAAGCAACGCGAAGAACCUUACCUAAGCUUGACAUCCCAAUGACAUCUCCUUAAUCGGAGAGUUCCCUUCGGGGACGUUGGUGACAGGUGGUGCAUGGUUGUCGUCAGCUCGUGUCGUGAGAUGUUGGGUUAAGUCCCGCAACGAGCGCAACCCUUGUCUUUAGUUGCCAUCAUUAAGUUGGGCACUCUAGAGAGACUGCCAGGG